rnacentral:rRNA from 1 species
CCUACGGGAGGCAGCAGUGGGGAAUAUUGGACAAUGGGCGAAAGCCUGAUCCAGCAAUGCCGCGUGUGUGAAGAAGGCCUUCGGGUUGUAAAGCACUUUCGUUGGGGAAGAAAGCCUUGGGGCUAAUACCCUCGGGGAAGGACAUCACCCACAGAAGAAGCACCGGCUAACUCCGUGCCAGCAGCCGCGGUAAUACGGAGGGUGCGAGCGUUAAUCGGAAUUACUGGGCGUAAAGCGCGCGUAGGCGGUCUGAUAAGCCGGUUGUGAAAGCCCCGGGCUCAACCUGGGAACUGCAUCCGGAACUGUCAGGCUAGAGUGCAGGAGAGGAAGGUAGAAUUCCCGGUGUAGCGGUGAAAUGCGUAGAGAUCGGGAGGAAUACCAGUGGCGAAGGCGGCCUUCUGGACUGACACUGACGCUGAGGUGCGAAAGCGUGGGUAGCAAACAGGAUUAGAUACCCCAGUAGUC